rnacentral:misc_RNA from 1 species
AGCGCAGCGAGCAGAGGAACUCCACACCGCAAAGUUGCGAAAAGUCGGCUCUCGUGCAAACCAGCGAAAGAGACACGUUCACCUGACGAUAGGGAAACCUGACGAGCUCACGCCGCCAUCUAUCGUCCCCUUGCGUCAGUCAGAUUGGUAGAGACGUGGAAAGAAAACGAGAACUUGGUCAUCCGUCUCCUACUACUGAGCUGAAAUGCCACCCGCUGAGAUAACGAGGCGACGUAUCUGGUGGCGGGCGGGGGAAGGGCGCACCGCAGAACACCCCCCGCCAGGAGAGGAAAGUUGGUUAUGGGACACCCGGAUGGAUAAGGUCAGGACAAGCACACAUGAGAAAGACAGCGGACGUAUAAAACCCGUCACUCUAUCACCUUCCCUCUCAAUACCUCCCUCGGCGCCUCCUUCAGGACACCAACGCCCUGCACAACACGACUGGAGGGUUCUAAUGCUUGGACGUGUGUUGGGGGAGGAGGGCGUGAGGAGGGAGCGCGGAUGUACCGUCAAUAGUCUACACAAGAACGAUCUCCAGGUAAACCGACUAAGCUUCUUAAGUCUGAUCCUGAAUACCGUCCCUUUGACCACCACUCGCCGCCCUCAGACAUGUCCCGCCCCUGCCUCCAAUCCCACCGACAAACUGAUACGUGUGGAUGUCAAAACAGGAUCAAAGCUACCGUCAAGAACUUCUGUUUUGCUGUUUAAACAUUUAAUAACUCCAUAAAUCUUGUUUGUCUCAUUUCCUGCGCUUUUUGUUCCAGUUCUCCUCAAAACAGACGUUCUUAUAUACGUCCCUGUCUUUUCAUUUAUUAAUUGUUUCUUAGAUAACUUCAUAAACACUUUAUCAUUUUUCCUGUAUUUUUCGUUCUCCUUGAUGCAG